GACGAAGGAUGCAAGCGUUAUCCGGAUUCAUUGGGUUUAAGGGAGCGUUGGGGGCCUUAUAAGUCAGUGGGGAAAUCUCUCAGCUUAACUGAGAAAUUGCCAUUGAUACUGUAGGGCUUGAGUACAGAUGCCGUUGGCGGAAUAUGACAUGUAGUGGUGAAAUACAUAGAGAUGUCAUAGAACACCGAUUGCGAAGGCAGCUGACGAAACUGUAACUGACACUGAGGCUCGAAAGUGCGGGGAUCAAACAGG
rnacentral:rRNA from 1 species